AGGUUGGCAGGGGAAAUUGGCUGGAGUGAUUGUUGGGGGAGGUAUGUUUGGGGUGCCUGUGUUGGGUAGUCUACAGUUGCUCCCUAGGGGGAGGGAGUUCUGCCUGGAAAACCUGGUGGAUGGGCAGUAGCUACAGCAAAGCAGGGAAGGAAUCCAGGAAAGUAGCAAAAAGAUCUUGGAGCAAGCAGACCGUAGCUGCUGUAUGUAAGGUCCCUGAACUGGAAACUGUAGUAGUGGACAGGUCUGGGCUCCCCUACCAGCUGUUGGGAAAGUGGCACAGGCUUGUCCUGGAAGACUGUCUGGGGUGGGGCAUGAGAACAGUUGCUACAACAGGACUUGGAUACCACAGCAAGGCAGGACAGUUCUGUGACCUGGCUGGAGGGAGAGUCCUGGUGGGGCUGUGGUGAGCCCAUGAUGAUGGAAAGGGGGCUUUAGACUCCACAGAACUAAUCCCCAGUGCUGCUGUGUGUCCUGUGACCUGGUACUAAAGGUACCCAACUUCAGAUACCUGAAAACCCUAAUUUUGCAGAAAGUGCAGAGGAGCUUCCCUCUGAAAAAAGGCUUCUCUAAGGUGCCUUCAGGUGUUCCCCUGCAGACAGCAUGUUUGCUCCCUGAGUCUGCUCCCUGCUGCACAUUCGUCUGAAGUCAAAACCCUGUUUGCAAUGGCCAAAUCAAUUCCAUUGGCUUAUGGAGUCCCUUGGGCUAUAUCCUCCUCUCACCCACAAAUCUCAAGGACAUGAGGCUGUCAGACAGGGAAGUAUCUGAAACAUGCAUGUUGCAGGGUCUCCUUAUCCCAACACCACAGCUGCAAUUAAAAUAGCUAGAGAAAUAAUUGUUGCCUUUUGCUUGAACUCCUCCUUGCAUAGACUCAUGGGGUGUUUCUCUUGUCCAUGCUGCAGACAUCUGUGGUAUGCUUGUCUGUCUUGCUUGGCUAAACAGCAGAAAUAACAUGCAGAGAUGUUAAAAGUGGCUCCUUGGUAUAUUUUGCCUGAGGUUGGUGCAAGUUCCUUUUAUCAGAGAAGCUUCCCCAAGGCCCUACUGUUAAAGCAUUUACCCAUUCUUCAGUGAGUCUGUUUCCAUGUAACUGAUUAUCCUGGCAGCAUAAGUGCUCAGUUAAAGCAUCUGGUCCAUCUGUGAUGGGACAAAAGGCUCCCAACAGUC